GUGCCAGCAGCCGCGGUAAUACGGAGGGUGCGAGCGUUGUCCGGAAUCACUGGGCGUAAAGGGCGCGUAGGCGGCCCGUUAAGUGGCUGGUGAAAUCCCGCGGCUCAACUGCGGGGCUGCCGGUCAGACUGGCGAGCUAGAGCACGGUAGGGGCAGAUGGAAUUCCCGGUGUAGCGGUGGAAUGCGUAGAGAUCGGGAAGAAUACCAGUGGCGAAGGCGUUCUGCUGGGCCGUUGCUGACGCUGAGGCGCGACAGCGUGGGGAGCAAACAGGAUUAGAAACCCCAGUAGUCC
rnacentral:rRNA from 1 species